rnacentral:rRNA from 1 species
UACGGGGGGGGCAAGCGUUGUUCGGAAUUACUGGGCGUAAAGGGCUCGUAGGCGGCCAACUAAGUCGGAUGUGAAAUCCCCAAGCUUAACUUGGGAACUGCAUCUGAUACUGGAUGGCUUGAGAUUGGGAGAGGGAUGCGGAAUUCCAGGUGUAGCGGUGAAAUGCGUAGAUAUCGGGAAGAACACCCGUGGCGAAGGCGGCUCUCUGGGACGGUACUGACGCUGAGACGCGAAAGCGUGGGGAGCGAACAGG